GACGAACGCUGGCGGCGUGCUUAACACAUGCAAGUCGAACGGAAAGGCCAUGCUUUUGUGGGGUGCUCGAGUGGCGAACGGGUGAGUAACACGCGAGUAACCUGCACUUGACUUUGGGAUAAAUUCAGGAAACAGGGGCUAAUAUCGGAUAGGAGAUACUGCUGCACGGUGGGGGAUGGAAAGUUUCGGCGGUUGGGGAUGGACUCGCGGCUUAUCCGCUUGUUGGUGGGGUAGUGGCUUACCAAGGCUUUGACGGGUAGCCGGCCUGAGAGGGUGACCGGGCACAUUAGGACUGAGAUACGGCCCAGACUCCUACGGGAGGCAGCAGUGGGGAAUAUUGCACAGUGGGCGGAAGCCAGAUGCGACGACGCCGCGUGCGUAAUGACGGCCUUCUGGUUGUAAACCACUUUCGCCUUUGACGAAGCGGUAGUGACGGUAACGGGUAAAGAAGCACCGGCUAACUACGUG
rnacentral:rRNA from 1 species